ACGGAAGGCAGCAGUGAGGAAUAUUGGUCAAUGGGCGGAAGCCUGAACCAGCCAAGUAGCGUGCAGGAUGACGGCCCUAUGGGUUGUAAACUGCUUUUAUGCGGGAAUAAAAAGGAUUACGUGUAGUCUGUUGCAUGUACCGCAUGAAUAAGGAUCGGCUAAUUCCGUGCCAGCAGCCGCGGUAAUACGGAAGAUCCGAGCGUUAUCCGGAUUUAUUGGGUUUAAAGGGAGCGUAGGCGGGCCUUUAAGUCAGUGGUCAAAGCGUGUGGCUCAACCAUACCACGCCGUUGAUACUGGAGGCCUUGAGUGCACAUAAGGAUGGUGGAAUUCAUGGUGUAGCGGUGAAAUGCUUAGAUAUCAUGAAGAACUCCGAUUGCGAAGGCAGCUGUCCGGGGUGUAACUGACGCUAAUGCUCGAAAGUGCGGGUAUCAAACAGGAUUAGAUACCCUGGUA
rnacentral:rRNA from 1 species